rnacentral:rRNA from 1 species
UACGGAGGGAGCUAGCGUUGUUCGGAAUUACUGGGCGUAAAGCGCGCGUAGGCGGCUUUGUAAGUUAGAGGUGAAAGCCCGGGGCUCAACCCCGGAAUUGCCUUUAAGACUGCAUCGCUUGAAUCCGGGAGAGGUGAGUGGAAUUCCGAGUGUAGAGGUGAAAUUCGUAGAUAUUCGGAAGAACACCAGUGGCGAAGGCGGCUCACUGGACCGGCAUUGACGCUGAGGUGCGAAAACGUGGGGAGCAAACAGG